GGCGCGGCCCCGGUGAGGCCCGUCCCCACCAGCAGGAGGCGCGCGAGCCCCUGCCCGUCCGAUGGCUCAGGUGGCAGGGACCCAGAACCCCCAGUACUCCACCUGUGUUCUCACACCGUACAGAGGCCCUUCCUGAGGAUUUUGGUGAUGUGAUCUAGCCCUUAAUGAACCAGUUGGAGUAAAGUGGCACAGUGCAGUUUUGGUAAAUCUUGGCAAGUUUCCCACAACACCCAAGAUACACGCCAGGACGGCGGCACAUCUCUGCUUAUAGCCCAGGCUCAGCAGGGAGUUACCAGUACCAUGUUGUGCCCUUUUCUUCCUGUGCCCAGUUGUAGAUUUCCCAAAGCUCCCCCAAGUCAGUGGAUCAUGCUUAUCAGUCUGUAGAGCACAGGAUGUUGCUUAUUCUCCUUUAAUGCUUUAAUUACUCCAUUGACACUCUGAAAUAGGUUACAGUGUAAUCAGGCAAAUUAUAAGCCAGUGGUUGACUUGGAAAUAAAAACUGUGCCUUUAAUUACUA